UACGGAGGGGGCUAGCGUUGUUCGGAAUGACUGGGCGUAAAGCGCGCGUAGGCGGACCAUCAAGUCGGGGGUGAAAUCCCGGGGCUCAACCCCGGCAUGGCCUUCGAGACUGGUGGUCUUGAGUUCGAGAGAGGUGGGUGGAAUUCCGAGUGUAGAGGUGAAAUUCGUAGAUAUUCGGAGGAACACCGGUGGCGAAGGCGGCCCACUGGCUCGUAUACUGACGCUGAGGCGCGAAAGCGUGGGGAGCAAACAGG
rnacentral:rRNA from 1 species